AUUGAACGCUGGCGGCAGGCCUAACACAUGCAAGUCGAACGAGUGGCGGACGGGUGAGUAAUGUCUGGGAAACUGCCUGAUGGAGGGGGAUAACUACUGGAAACGGUAGCUAAUACCGCAUACCAUCAGAUGUGCCUAGAUGGGAUUAGCUAGUAGGUGGGGGAACGGCCAACCUAGGCGACGAUCCCUAGCUGGUCUGAGAGGAUGACCAGUAAGACUGGAACUGAGACACGGUCCAGACUCCUACGGGAGGCAGCAGUGGGGAAUAUUGGACAAGGGGCGCAAGCCUGAUGCAGCCAUGCCGCGUGUAUGAAGAAGGCCUUAGGGUUGUAAAGUACUUUCAGCGGGGAGGCGUUACCCGCAGAAGAAGCACCGGCUAACUCCGUGCCAGCAGCCGCGGUAAUUC
rnacentral:rRNA from 1 species